UGGAGCAUGAAGGGCCAGCGAUCUCAGAAUGAGUGAUUGCCAAAUGCGCCUGCGGGCUCCUCAAAGCUCCCAGGACCUCUCAGGGAAAAUGGGGAAAGUUUCCCAGGGCUCGGUCCUCUUCAGACUUUAGGACUUCUCUAACUAAGUAACCUAAAAUUAACUGACAGCCUUCGACUUAACAUGCAAACAGCCCACCUGAGAACUAAGUCAACAUGGAGUAAACUGAUCUGGAAGAUACUACGAGCUGGAGAGGCAGAGAUCUGAUAACAUCAGGCCCUGGAUCCAGCCAUUCCUGAAGCUAACCCUCCUCUGGAUAUUACUGCUGUGUGAGCCCGUGAAUCUGGUUGGAGAGGAGCAUGAGAGGUUUACUGGAAGAGUUGAUGUUUAUCAUAGCCUUGCUGGAGGGUGACCCAGUCAGGAUGGACUGUGCUGGGCUGCAGUGACAACCCCCUUCUGGAUGCUACUGAUUUUCCCCAUUGCUCACAGCUGGACAUUACACGUCAAGGAUGCUCUCAGAGGACUGGGAAAAUGUUCAGAGGUCCACAGAUAUGAUCCUUCUACUUGGGCUCCCGAAACAAGCAGAAAGAUCCCUUCCCCUCCCCAUGAAAUCCAAGCAGGGCUGCAGAAAGAAGGGAGAGUUCAGGAAGAAACACUUGCCUUUGCUCACUUAUUUGACCACUGCUUACUGGCUUUCUGAAUGAAUCGGGUACUUUGAAAGAUGCCAGGAGAGAUGGGAGGAGAUGAUGAUGGUGUUGAUGAUGAUGGCUAACAUUCUAUCAAGGACUUUGUACAUGCCAGGCAUUGUUCUAGGAUGUUUCACAGGUUCUUAUCUGACUUUCCUAGUGGCUCAGAUGGUAAAGCAUCUGCCUACAUUGCAGGAGACCUGGGUUCGAUCCCUAGGUUAGGAAGAUCCCCUGAAGAAGGAAAUA